CAGCAGCCGCGGGAAUACGAAGGGGGCUAGCGUUGUUCGGAAUUACUGGGCGUAAAGCGCACGUAGGCGGAUCGAUCAGUCAGGGGUGAAAUCCCAGGGCUCAACCCUGGAACUGCCUUUGAUACUGUCGAUCUGGAGUAUGGAAGAGGUGAGUGGAAUUCCGAGUGUAGAGGUGAAAUUCGUAGAUAUUCGGAGGAACGCCAGUGGCGAAGGCGGCUCACUGGUCCAUUACUGACGCUGAGGUGCGAAAGCGUGGGGAGCAAACAGGAUUAGAUACCCGUGUAGUCCCUGUCUCUUAUAC
rnacentral:rRNA from 1 species